rnacentral:rRNA from 1 species
AUUGAACGCUGGCGGCAGGCCUAACACAUGCAAGUCGAGCGGCAGCGGAAAGUAGCUUGCUACUUUGCCGGCGAGCGGCGGACGGGUGAGUAAUGUCUGGGAAACUGCCUGAUGGAGGGGGAUAACUACUGGAAACGGUAGCUAAUACCGCAUAACGUCGCAAGACCAAAGAGGGGGACCUUCGGGCCUCUUGCCAUCAGAUGUGCCCAGAUGGGAUUAGCUAGUAGGUGGGGUAACGGCUCACCUAGGCGACGAUCCCUAGCUGGUCUGAGAGGAUGACCAGCCACACUGGAACUGGGACACGGUCCAGACUCCUACGGGAGGCAGCAGUGGGGAAUAUUGCACAAUGGGCGCAAGCCUGAUGCAGCCAUGCCGCGUGUAUGAAGAAGGCCUUCGGGUUGUAAAGUACUUUCAGCGGGGAGGAAGGUGUUGAGGUUAAUAACCUCAGCAAUCGACGUUACCCGCAGAAGAAGCACCGGCUAACUCCGUGCCAGCAGCCGCCGCGGUAA